UACGGAGGGUGCAAGCGUUGUCCGGAUUUAUUGGGUUUAAAGGGUGCGUAGGCGGCUAUUUAAGUCAGUGGUGAAAUCCUGCAGCUUAACUGUAGAACAGCCAUUGAUACUGGAUAGCUUGAGUACAGACGAGGUAGGCGGAAUUUAUGGUGUAGCGGUGAAAUGCAUAGAUACCAUAAAGAACCCCUAUUGCGAAGGCAGCUUACUAGGCUGUAACUGACGCUGAGGCACGAAAAGCGUGGGGAUCAAACAGG
rnacentral:rRNA from 1 species